rnacentral:rRNA from 1 species
AACGAACGCUGGCGGCAUGCCUAACACAUGCAAGUCGAACGAGACCUUCGGGUCUAGUGGCGCAAGGGUGCGUAACGCGUGGGAACCUGCCCUUAGGUUCGGAAUAACUCCCCGAAAGGGGUGCUAAUACCGGAUAAUGUCUUCGGUCCAAAGAUUUAUCGCCUUUGGAUGGGCCCGCGUUGGAUUAGCUAGUUGGUAGGGUAAAAGCCUACCAAGGCGACGAUCCAUAGCUGGUCUGAGAGGAUGAUCAGCCACACUGGGACUGAGACACGGCCCAGACUCCUACGGGAGGCAGCAGUGGGGAAUAUUGGACAAUGGGCGAAAGCCUGAUCCAGCAAUGCCGCGUGAGUGAUGAAGGCCUUAGGGUUGUAAAGCUCUUUUACCCGGGAUGAUAAUGACAGUACCGGGAGAAUAAGCGCCGGCUAACUCCGUG